UGGGGAAUAUUGCACAAUGGGCGGAAGCCUGAUGCAGCGACGCCGCGUGGGGGAUGAAGGCCUUCGGGUUGUAAACUCCUUUCGACAGGGACGAAGCUUUUGUGACGGUACCUGUAUAAGAAGCACCGGCUAACUACGUGCCAGCAGCCGCGGUAAUACGUAGGGUGCGAGCGUUGUCCGGAAUUACUGCGCGUAAAGAGCUCGUAGGUGGUUUGUCGCGUCGUCUGUGAAAUUCCGGGGCUUAACUCCGGGCGUGCAGGCGAUACGGGCUGACUUGAGUGCUGUAGGGGAGACUGGAAUUCCUGGUGUAGCGGUGAAAUGCGCAGAUAUCAGGAGGAACACCGAUGGCGAAGGCAGGUCUCUGGGCAGUAACUGACGCUGAGGAGCGAAAGCAUGGGUAGCGAACAGG
rnacentral:rRNA from 1 species